AGAGUUUGAUCCUGGCUCAGGAUGAACGCUAGCUACAGGCUUAACACAUGCAAGUCGAGGGGCAGCGGUAUCGAAAGCUUGCUUUCGGUAGCCGGCGACCGGCGCACGGGUGAGUAACGCGUAUCGAACCUGCCUCAUACUCGGGAAUAGCCUUGCGAAAGUAAGAUUAAUGCCCGGUGUUUUCAGAGUCCCGCAUGAGGCUUUGAACAAAGAUUUAUCGGUAUGAGAUGGCGAUGCGUCCCAUUAGCUUGUUGGCGGGGUAACGGCCCACCAAGGCAUCGAUGGGUAGGGGUUCUGAGAGGAAGGUCCCCCACAUUGGAACUGAGACACGGUCCAAACUCCUACGGGAGGCAGCAGUGAGGAAUAUUGGUCAAUGGGCGGAAGCCUGAACCAGCCAAGUAGCGUGCAGGAAGACGGCCCUCCGGGUUGUAAACUGCUUUUAGUUGGGAAUAAAACGGGGCUCGUGAGCCCCCUUGCAUGUACCAUCAGAAAAAGGACCGGCUAAUUCCGUGCCAGCAGCCGCGGUAAUACGGAAGGUCCGGGCGUUAUCCGGAUUUAUUGGGUUUAAAGGGAGCGCAGGCGGACCUUUAAGUCAGCUGUGAAAUACGGCGGCUCAACCGUCGAACUGCAGUUGAUACUGGAGGUCUUGAGUGCACACAGGGAUGCUGGAAUUCAUGGUGUAGCGGUGAAAUGCUCAGAUAUCAUGAAGAACUCCGAUCGCGAAGGCAGGCAUCCGGGGUGCAACUGACGCUGAGGCUCGAAAGUGCGGGUAUCAAACAGGAUUAGAUACCCUGUAGUCCGCACAGUAACGAUGAUACUCGCGGUUUGCGAUACAUGUAAGCGCAAGCGAAAGCGUUAGUAUCACUGGGAGUACGCGGCACGUGAACUCAAGAAUGACGGGGCCCGCACAGCGGAGAACAUGUGGUUAAUCGAUGAUACGCGAGAACUUACUCGGGCUGAACUGCCAGCGACGAUGCGAGACGCAUCUUUCUUCGACGCUGCGAGUGCUGCAUGGUGUCGUCAGCCUCUGCGUGAGGGUUCGCUAAAUGCCUACCGAGGCCAACCUCAUCCCUGUGCAUCAGGUGAUGCUGGGCACUCCGGGGACACUGCCAUCGUAAGAUGUGAGGAAGGUGGGGAUGACGUCAAAUCAGCACGGCCCUUACGUCCGGGGCUACACACGUGUUACAAUGGGCGGUACAGAGGGCAGCCACUGCGCGAGCAGGAGCCAAUCCUCAAAGCCGUUCUCAGUUCGGACUGGAGUCUGCAACCCGACUCCACGAAGCUGGAUUCGCUAGUAAUCGCGCAUCAGCCAUGGCGCGGUGAAUACGUUCCCGGGCCUUGCACACACCGCCCGUC
rnacentral:rRNA from 1 species